AUUGAAAAAGCUAAACCUAUUGUGAGAUAGGGGCAGAAAGCCAUGGGUCUUAUUUUUGAGAUCGCCAGGUUACCAUAG
rnacentral:ncRNA from 1 species